GUAGGUGGCAAGCGUUGUCCGGGAAUUAUUGGGGCGUAAAGCGCGCGCAGGCGGUUCUUUAAGUCUGAUGUGAAAGCCCACGGGCUCAACCGUGGAGGGUCAUUGGAAACUGGAGAACUUGAGUACAGAAGAGGAAAGCGGAAUUCCACGUGUAGCGGUGAAAUGCGUAGAGAUGUGGAGGAACACCAGUGGCGGAGGCGGCUUUCUGGUCUGUAACUGACGCUGAGGCGCGAAAGCGUGGGGAGCAAACAGGAUUAGAUACCCUGGUAGUCCACGCCGUAAACGAUGAGUGCUAAGUGUUAGGGGGUUUCCGCCCCUUAGUGCUGCAGCUAACGCAUUAAGCACUCCGCCUGGGGAGUACGGCCGCAAAGGCUG
rnacentral:rRNA from 1 species